AUUGAACGCUGGCGGCAUGCUUUACACAUGCAAGUCGAACGGUAACAGGCCGCAAGGUGCUGACGAGUGGCGAACGGGUGAGUAAUGCAUCGGAACGUGCCCAGUCGUGGGGGAUAACUACUCGAAAGAGUAGCUAAUACCGCAUACGAUCUAUGGAUGAAAGCGGGGGACCGAAAGGCCUCGCGCGAUUGGAGCGGCCGAUGUCAGAUUAGGUAGUUGGUGGGGUAAAGGCUCACCAAGCCAACGAUCUGUAGCUGGUCUGAGAGGACGACCAGCCACACUGGGACUGAGACACGGCCCAGACUCCUACGGGAGGCAGCAGUGGGGAAUUUUGGACAAAGGGCGCAAGCCUGAUCCAGCAAUGCCGCGUGCAGGAAGAAGGCCUUCGGGUUGUAAACUGCUUUUGUACGGAACGAAACGGCUCUGGUUAAUACCCGGGGCUAAUGACGGUACCGUAAGAAUAAGCACCGGCUAACUACGUG
rnacentral:rRNA from 1 species